ACUUCGGAAAGGAGGUGGUUCGGCAGAUGUAUGAAUACCGGACGGAAGAGGUGACUGCGGGCUAGUGGCCCGCCGUCGUACUCGGUUCGGCGCCGGACCAGCGCGUGCGCGAAGCGUGCAGCCGGCCUAAUCCAACGCAGUCACCCGACCCGCGAGCUCGCCGGUACGUCCGGCCGGCUCCCCCGCCGUCAGGCAGGGGGACCUGAGCUCGCGGGUCGUCUGCG
rnacentral:sRNA from 1 species